rnacentral:rRNA from 1 species
UACGUAGGGGGCAAGCGUUGUCCGGAUUUAUUGGGCGUAAAGAGCGUGUAGGCGGCCAGACAAGUUCUGCUGUGAAAACUCGAGGCUCAACCUCGAGCUGUCGGUGGAAACUGUCUGGCUAGAGUCCGGAAGAGGAGAGUGGAAUUCCUGGUGUAGCGGUGAAAUGCGCAGAUAUCAGGAGGAACACCAAUUGCGAAGGCAGCUCGCUGGGACGUACUGACGCUGAGACGCGAAGCGUGGGGGAGCAAACAGG